AUUGAACGCUGGCGGCAUGCCUUACACAUGCAAGUCGAACGGCAGCACGGGGGCAACCCUGGUGGCGAGUGGCGAACGGGUGAGUAAUACAUCGGAAUGUACCCAGUAGUGGGGGGAUAACUAGUCGAAAGAUUAGCUAAUACCGCAUACGCACUAUGGUGGAAAGCGGGGGGAUCGCAAGACCUCGCGCUAUUGGAGCAGCCGAUGUCCGAUUAGGUAGUUGGUGGGGUAAAAGCCUACCAAGCCUGCGAUCGGUAACUGGUCUGAGAGGACGACCAGUCACACUGGGACUGAGACACGGCCCAGACUCCUACGGGAGGCAGCAGUGGGGAAUUUUGGACAAUGGGGGAAACCCUGAUCCAGCAAUGCCGCGUGUGUGACGAAGGCC
rnacentral:rRNA from 1 species